rnacentral:rRNA from 1 species
UAAGGAAUAUUGGUCAAUGGAGGGAACUCUGAACCAGCCAUGCCGCGUGAAGGAUGACGGCCCUCUGGGUUGUAAACUUCUUUUGGAUGGGGCGAAAAAACGGGAUUUAUCCUGGACUGACGGUACCAUCAGAAUAAGCACCGGCUAACUCCGUGCCAGCAGCCGCGGUAAUACGGAGGGUGCAAGCGUUAUCCGGAAUCACUGGGUUUAAAGGGUGCGUAGGCGGUUGUAUAAGUCAGGGGUGAAAGCACGCAGCUUAACUGUGUAAUUGCCUUUGAUACUGUACGGCUUGAAUAGGGUUGAGGUUGGCGGAAUGUGACAUGUAGCGGUGAAAUGCAUAGAUAUGUCAUAGAACACCGAUUGCGAAGGCAGCUGACUGGGCCUAUAUUGACGCUGAGGCAC